AACGUAGGUGGCGAGCGUUAUCCGGAUUUACUGGGCGUAAAGGGUGUGCAGGCGGGUCACUAAGUGGGGUAUGAAAGCGCUCGGCUCAACCGGGCAAGGUUAUGCCAGACUGGUGGUCUAGAGGGCGAGAGAGGGACGUGGAAUUCCGGGUGUAGUGGUGAAAUGCGUAGAGAUCCGGAGGAACCCCAGAGGCGAAGGCGGCAUCCUGGACUGGUCCUGACACUCAGGAGCGAAAGCGUGGGGAGCGAUCCGG
rnacentral:rRNA from 1 species